UAGAUUUUUAAGGGUGUUUUUGCUGUUCCAAUUACAGAUGAAUAAGAUUUCUACAUUAUUAAUAGGACGAACACUCUUGGGAACCUGUGGCCAUCGAAAAUGAUCGUGGUGAAACAGGAAAACGCUUCAGAACAGAAGCCUCAGUCCGAGCCAGUCGGGUUCAGUGGCCUCGCGGAUGUGGUAGUAUCCUAACAUGGUCCAGGCUGGGCACCGAUUAUUUUUUCCCCCGCAGAAAGGUGUUGCUUGAGUCUCGCCUUCGCACUCCGAGGACACUUUGAAUUCAUGAUGCUUUAAGUGUUCCUGGUCUUCGUCAGCCUUCGUGACUCUCCAUGCUCGCAGCGUCCUCCUCUGCUCCUUGUUACAACACCACUUGUGCAUUGUUGCCAGGAUGCUGAACCGCAGCCCAGUGUUGAAAUGCAUCAUUUGAAGCCAAAGCAACCUGCUGUUCUGUGGUAUUCUGAAUCCAAGGCAGAGCACGGCAAUGAGUGCCAGAAGUGUAAUGAAGAACAGUACCCCGAAGGUGAUGGCCAUCUCCCGCACGGUCUUGGCUGGCAAAGGGAGCAAGUCACAGUUUAGAGCAAGGUAGGACAACAAUGAAAAAAAAAAA